AGAACGAACGCUGGCGGCAGGCUUAACACAUGCAAGUCGAACGCGUGUAGCAAUACACGAGUGGCGCACGGGUGAGUAACGCGUGGAUAUCUGCCUUUUGGUUCGGAAUAACCCCGGGAAACUGGGGCUAAUACCGGAUGGUUCCUACGGGAUAAAGAUUUAUCGCCAAAAGAUGAGUCCGCGUACGAUUAGCUAGUUGGUGAGGUAAUGGCUCACCAAGGCGACGAUCGUUAGCUGGUCUGAGAGGACGAUCAGCCACAUUGGGACUGAGACACGGCCCAAACUCCUACGGGAGGCAGCAGUGGGGAAUAUUGGACAAUGGGCGCAAGCCUGAUCCAGCCAUGCCGCGUGAGUGAUGAAGGCCUUAGGGUUGUAAAGCUCUUUCGCCCGCGACGAUGAUGACGGUAGCGGGAGAAGAAGCCCCGGCUAACUCGUGCCAGCAGCCGC
rnacentral:rRNA from 1 species